rnacentral:rRNA from 1 species
GAUGAACGCUGGCGGCGUGCUUAACACAUGCAAGUCGAACGAUGAAGCCCAGCUUGCUGGGUGGAUUAGUGGCGAACGGGUGAGUAACACGUGAGUAACCUGCCCUUAACUCUGGGAUAAGCCUGGGAAACUGGGUCUAAUACCGGAUAGGAGCGUCCACCGCAUGGUGGGUGUUGGAAAGAUUUAUCGGUUUUGGAUGGACUCGCGGCCUAUCAGCUUGUUGGUGAGGUAAUGGCUCACCAAGGCGACGACGGGUAGCCGGCCUGAGAGGGUGACCGGCCAAACUGGGACUGAGACACGGCACAGACUCCUACGGGAGGCAGCAGUGGGGAAUAUUGCACAAUGGGCGCAAGCCUGAUGCAGCGACGCCGCGUGAGGGAUGACGGCCUUCGGGUUGUAAACCUCUUUCAGUAGGGAAGAAGCGAAAGUGACGGUACCUGCAGAAGAAGCACCGGCUAACUACGUG